rnacentral:rRNA from 1 species
CCUACGGGAGGCAGCAGUGAGGAAUAUUGGUCAAUGGGCGCGAGCCUGAACCAGCCAAGUCGCGUGAGGGAAGACGGUCCUAUGGAUUGUAAACCUCUUUUGUCGGAGAACAAAACCCGGGACGUGUCCCGGACUGCGUGUAUCCUAAGUAAAAGCAUCGGCAAACUCCGUGCCAGCAGCCGCGGUAAUACGGAGGAUACGGGCGUUAUCCGGAUUUAUUGGGUUUAAGGGGUGCGUAGGCGGUCCGUUAAGUCAGCGGUAAAAUUGCGGGGCUAAACCCGGCCGAGCCGUUGAAACUGGCAGACUUGAGUUGGCGAGAAGUACGCGGAAUGCGCGGUGUAGCGGUGAAAUGCAUAGAUAUCGCGCAGAACUCCGAUUGCGAAGGCGGCGUCCCGGCGCCAGACUGACGCUGAGGCACGAAAGCGUGGGGAUCGAACAGGAGUAGAGACCCGGGUAGUC